rnacentral:lncRNA from 1 species
CAUCAGCAAAGAAAAGUACUGGAGAGUAAGAACGCUGAGAAUGUCAAGAAUCUUUUAGCAACGCGUCGAGUCUUUAUGUCCUUUGCACUUUCUCUGCGAGCGUUUAGAGAUCGAUAAAACGGACGUGCACUCCUUUUACGCAGCUGUUUACAUCACACACCGCGUUAUUUUUACUUGUUACAAUCUCGCGAGAAAGUACUUGCUUGCGUUAGACGCGGCUUGCCAAAGAUAAUUCAAAAUACGCACGAUCAUGAAUUUAUCUAAGGUCUAAGGUCAAAUAGCGACUUGACUAGACGAUAAUUAUUAUCUUUGCUGUUACAUACGUUGCGAUGUUACGCAGCCAAAUAUGUAUACCAAGGGCAGAAAAAUGCGACCAACAAUAGUGGACAGGUUCAUAGCUAGGAUUUCUAUUUUAAGUAAUAUGGGAUAUACAAUACGAAAGAUCGGUCAAUGUUAAUCGAUAGUUCAGCUAUCUGCUACAAGAUGCACUGCGUCAAGGAAGACCCAGAUCUUACAUGGAUGAGGCGAUAUAUUCGGAAAAACACAAGCCAGGUGACGUCUCGUAGACCAUCUUAGAGCAACACCCGGCAAAGAGAGAAUGGGCUAUCGAGGAUAAGGCAAUCAUCCUCGCACCUGGUGCCAAUAGACCGGUAAUCCAUGUCUUCGGGCCAGUGUCAGCCGGCUGUUAAGAAGACUG